rnacentral:lncRNA from 1 species
CCUUCUCAAGAAUCUUAAACACGAUUCCAUGAUUCGAUUCUACACAUCUUGGGUUGAUAUCAAUCGUAGAACUUUCAACUUCAUCACUGAGAUGUUCACAUCUGGCACACUUCGAGAGUAACCAUAUAAGACUUUACUAUCUAUUGCAAAAGUUACAUUCCUGUUGUUUUAGGUGUAAAUUUUAACAUGUUUGAUGUAAUAUAGGUAUAGACAGAAGUACCCGCGCGUCGACAUGCGAGCGGUUAAGAGCUGGGCUCGCCAAAUUCUGCAGGGUCUAGCUUAUCUACAUGGUCAUGACCCUCCGGUGAUCC